rnacentral:rRNA from 1 species
UGAGGGUUGUUGCUGGUUCUCUAGGGAGCAUGUGCACACCUUGUCAUCUUUAUAUCUCCACCUGUGCACUUUUUGUAGACCUUUUCAGGUCUAUGUUGCCUCAUUUUACCCCAAUGUAUGUCAAUAGAAUGUUGUGCCUAUAUAUAAUAUAUACAACUUUCAGCAACGGAUCUCUUGGCUCUCGCAUCGAUGAAGAACGCAGCGAAAUGCGAUAAGUAAUGUGAAUUGCAGAAUUCAGUGAAUCAUCGAAUCUUUGAACGCACCUUGCGCUCCUUGGUAUUCCGAGGAGCAUGCCUGUUUGAGUGUCAUUAAUAUAAUCAACCUUCUCUUGUUUUGAGAACGGUUUGGAUGUGGGGGGUUUGCUGGCCUCUCUCAAAAGGGUUCAGCUCCCCUGAAAUGCAUUAGCAGAACAACCUUUGCUCAUUGGUGUGAUAACUAUCUACGCUUAUGAAUAUGAGGGGCAGUUCAGCUUUCUAACGGUCUUUGGACAAUUCAUCAUUAAUGUGACCUCAAAUCAGGUAGGACUACCCGCUGAACUUAAGCAUAUCAAUAAGCGGAGGAAAAGAAAACUAACAAGGAUUCCCCUAGUAACUGCGAGUGAAGCGGGAAAAGCUCAAAUUUAAAAUCUGGCGGUCUUUUGGCUGUCCGAGUUGUAAUCUAGAGAAGUGUUUAUCCGCGCUGGACCGUG